rnacentral:tRNA from 1 species
AGGUCAUUAGUGUUUAACGGCGAGCACGUUGGACUCCAAAUCCAAAAGUAGGGGUUCGAAUCCUCUAUGGCCUGCCA